rfam:Bacillus smithii strain DSM 4216, complete genome.
UUUACAUAUUCUGCAAAUGCCCCAGGAUAUCUCGACCCGAUCACGGUCAAUUUUUCACACUGUGAUAAUAUUCCUUUUUUACAGCUGUCACACUUUCCGCAAUAAAAUGUAGGACA